AUCUGCAAGUCUGCCAAUGAAAGAUCCCACGCAGAGAGACCCUUACUCAAGUCUUGGGAAAUCGCGGACCCCAGACACAGAGAGACCA
rnacentral:pre_miRNA from 14 species